rnacentral:tRNA from 1 species
UUUGUCGCUAAUACAAUGGUACCAUAUUCCCAAUUUCUUGGAUUGAAAAACUUAUCAACUGAUAAC